rnacentral:lncRNA from 1 species
CAGCUUUGUUGUCUCCGUCGUGCUGAUCGCACUGGUGCAAUCCGUUCGCAAAUCUGACGGACGGAUCUGCGGAGAUCGCGCGUUGAUCGAGGAGAGGUCGGUAGUGGCAAAACGGUAUUUUCGCAAAAGUCGCGAUAUUUUAUGUACCGUUUCGCGAGGGAUCGCACGUGGAGGGGCGUUCAUGCGUUUUAGUCGUACUGUGAGG